rnacentral:rRNA from 1 species
GUGCCAGCAGCCGCGGUAAUACCGGCAGCUCGAGUGGUCGUCGCUUUUAUUGGGCCUAAAACGUCCGUAGCCUGUUUGGUAAAUCUAUGGGUAAAUCAAUCCGCUUAACGGAUUGAAUUCUGCAGAGACUGCCAGACUAGGGACCGGGAGAGGUAUGAGGUACUCUGGGGGUAGGGGUAAAAUCCUGUCAUCCUCAGAGGACCACCUGUUGCGAAGGCGUCAUACUGGAACGGAUCCGACGGUCAGGGACGAAGCCUGGGGGCACGAACCGGAUUAGAUACCCGGGUAGUCCCAGGUGUAAACGCUGUGGAUUUGGUGUGUGGGGUCCGCAAUGGGCCCCAUGUGCCGGAGUGAAGAUGUUAAAUCCACUGCCUGGGGAGUACGGUCGCAAGGCUGAAACUUAAAGGAAUUGGCGGGGGAGCACUGCAACGGGAGGAGCGUGCGGUUUAAUUGGAUUCAACGCCGGAAAACUCACCAGGGCCGACUGUUAGAUGAAGACCAGCGUGAUGAGCUUGUCGGAUUUUCAGAGAGGUGGUGCAUGGCCGUCGUCAGUUCGUACUGUAAAGCGUUCUGUUAAGUCAGAUAACGAACGAGACCCUCAUCUCUAUUUGCUACCCGUCUCUCCGGAGACGGCGCACUAUAGGGAGACCGCUGGUGUUAAACCAGAGGAAGGCGAGGGCAACGACAGGUCAGUAUCCCCCGAAUGUCCUGGGCUACACGCGCGCUACAAAGGACGGGACAAUGGGAAGCCAGGCCGAGAGGCCGAGCUACCCCGAAACCCGUUCAUAGUUCGGAUCGUGGGCUGUAACUCGCCCACGUGAAGCUGGAUUCCGUAGUAAUCGUGUUUCAAUAUAGCACGGUGAAUAUGCCCCUGCUCCUUGCACUCACCGCCCGUC